GUUUCUGGCCAUACCGUCGGGCCUAGUUAGUACUGGAACGGGAGACCGCCUGGGAAUACCAGGUGCAAUAAGCU
rnacentral:rRNA from 1 species